rnacentral:rRNA from 1 species
AUUGAACGCUGGCGGCAGGCCUAACACAUGCAAGUCGAACGAGUGGCGGACGGGUGAGUAAUGUAUGGGAAACAGACCGCCGGACGGGGAUAAAUACUGGACACGGUAGCUAACACCGCAUCCAACCGGAUGUGCACAGAUGGGAUCAGCUUGUAGGUGAGGUAACGGCUUACCUACGCGACGAUCCCUAGCUGGGCUAAGAGGAUGACCAGCCACACUGGAAGGGAACCACGGUCCAAGCGCCAACGGGAGGCAGCAGUGGGGAAGAUUGCACAAUGGGCGCAAGCCUGUUGCAAACAGUCAGGGUGUAUGAAAAAGGCCUUCGAGUUAUAAAGUACAUUCAUCGGGGAGGCGUUACCCACAGAAUAAGCGACGGCUAACUCCGUGCCAGCAGCCGCGGUAAUAC